GAUUGUUGUGGAAGCUGGACUCAUGGGGGCCCAGGACCUGAGCCCGAAGAGACCAUAAGUAUGUAGACUAAAACCUACCAGACAUGAACCAAUGCUAGCUGAGCCUGGUGGUACAUGCCUGCACUGCCAGCAAAAAGACUGUUUCAGGUCAUCCUGGGCCACAGAGCAAGAUGUCAAACCAAAACAAAGAAGUAUAAACCAAUACUAAGUUACUGUGACCAAAUACCUGAGAAGCAACUUAAAGAGGACUACAGUUCUGGAACACUCCGUCAUGGCAGAGGAAGGCAUAGGAACAUGGCGCAGCUGGUCAUGUUCAGAAAGCAGAGAGAGAUGGAUGCUGGUACUCGUUUGCUUUCUUCUUUUAAUUCAGUCUGGGAUCCCAACCCAUGGGAUGGUGCUGCCUAUAUUUGAGAGAGUUGGAGGCAAAUUGGAUCACAGAAGUUUCUGGAAUGGCAGAGCUACAGGAAAACCAGAGACCAUCAUAAAACCAGAGACCUUUUGGCUGAGCCCUGAGUCCCAGGAGGGACAGUGUCUGGUGUGUACAGACGUCACUGAGGGAGCAGCAGGGCGUCACCGGCCUGGCUUCGCUCCCUCAGCCCAGCUUAUCUUAACAUGCAGCCAGCCUGUAGCUUUGUGGGAGCUGCUUCCAAGGGGUUUCUCCAGGCCUGGCCUCAUUCUAACAGGAAAGCCUUUGGAAAGACUGGACUGGCUGGUGGCAGGUGCAUCAUGAGAAAUAACUAGUCAGCUCCAAGCAAAGAGCCUGGCCUGUUUUUUAGCAGCAACCCCUGCUUCCCCUGCCUGUUCAGCUCCUUAAACCUGAAGGCCUAGCGUUGCGCCUGCUGGCCUGGAACUCACUAUGUAGACCUGGCUGGCUUUGAACUCACAGAGAUCUUACCUGCCUCUGCCUCCAGA